rnacentral:rRNA from 1 species
GAUGAACGCUGGCGGCGUGCCUAAUACAUGCAAGUCGAGCGAACGGACGAGAAGCUUGCUUCUCUGAUGUUAGCGGCGGACGGGUGAGUAACACGUGGAUAACCUACCUAUAAGACUGGGAUAACUUCGGGAAACCGGAGCUAAUACCGGAUAAUAUUUUAACCGCAUGGUUCAAAAGUGAAAGACGGUCUUGCUGUCACUUAUAGAUGGAUCCGCGCUGCAUUAGCUAGUUGGUAAGGUAACGGCUUACCAAGGCAACGAUGCAUAGCCGACCUGAGAGGGUGAUCGGCCACACUGGAACUGAGACACGGUCCAGACUCCUACGGGAGGCAGCAGUAGGGAAUCUUCCGCAAUGGGCGAAAGCCUGACGGAGCAACGCCGCGUGAGUGAUGAAGGUCUUCGGAUCGUAAAACUCUGUUAUUAGGGAAGAACAUAUGUGUAAGUAACUGUGCACAUCUUGACGGUACCUAAUCAGAAAGCCACGGCUAACUACGUG